AGGUAAGCUACUAAGAGCGAAUGGUGGAUGCCUUGACUGGUAAAGGCGAUGAAGGACGUACUAGACUGCGAUAAGCUACGGGGAGCUGUCAAGAAGCUUUGAUCCGUAGAUUUCCGAAUGGGGCAACCCAAUGUAUAGAGAUAUACAUUACCUAUAUAGGAGCGAACGAGGGGAAUUGAAACAUCUUAGUACCCUCAGGAAAAGAAAUCAAUAGAGAUUGCGUCAGUAGCGGCGAGCGAAAGCGCAAGAGGGCAAACCCAGUGCUUGCACUGGGGGUUGUAGGACUGCAAUGUGCAAGAGGUAAGUUUAGCAGAACAUUCUGGAAAGUAUAGCCAUAGAGGGUGAUAGUCCCGUAUGCGAAAAACAAACCUUAGCUAGCAGUAUCCUGAGUAGGGCGGGACACGAGGAAUCCUGUCUGAAUCCGGGUCGACCACGAUCCAACCCUAAAUACUAAUACCAGAUCGAUAGUGCACAAGUACCGUGAGGGAAAGGUGAAAAGAACUGAGGUGAUCAGAGUGAAAUAGAACCUGAAACCAUUUGCUUACAAUCAUUCAGAGCCCUAUGUAGCAAUACAGGGUGAUGGACUGCCUUUUGCAUAAUGAGCCUGCGAGUUGUGGUGUCUGGCAAGGUUAAGCAAACGCGAAGCCGUAGCGAAAGCGAGUCUGAAUAGGGCGCUUAGUCAGAUGCUGCAGACCCGAAACGAAGUGAUCUAUCCAUGAGCAAGUUGAAGCUAGUGUAAGAACUAGUGGAGGACUGAACCCAUAGGCGUUGAAAAGCCCCGGGAUGACUUGUGGAUAGGGGUGAAAGGCCAAUCAAACUUCGUGAUAGCUGGUUCUCUCCGAAAUAUAUUUAGGUAUAGCGUUGUGUCGUAAUAUAAGGGGGUAGAGCACUGAAUGGGCUAGGGCAUACACCAAUGUACCAAACCCUAUCAAACUCCGAAUACCUUAUAUGUAAUCACAGCAGUCAGGCGGCGAGUGAUAAAAUCCGUCGUCAAGAGGGAAACAACCCAGACUACCAGCUAAGGUCCCUAAGUCUUACUUAAGUGGAAAACGAUGUGAAGUUACUUAAACAACCAGGAGGUUGGCUUAGAAGCAGCCAUCCUUUAAAGAAAGCGUAAUAGCUCACUGGUCUAGUGAUUUUGCGCGGAAAAUAUAACGGGGCUAAAGUAAGUACCGAAGCUGUAGACUUAGUUUACUAAGUGGUAGGAGAGCGUUCUAUUUGCGUCGAAGGUAUACCGGUAAGGAGUGCUGGAGCGAAUAGAAGUGAGCAUGCAGGCAUGAGUAGCGAUAAUUAAUGUGAGAAUCAUUAACGCCGUAAACCCAAGGUUUCCUACGCGAUGCUCGUCAUCGUAGGGUUAGUCGGGUCCUAAGUCGAGUCCGAAAGGGGUAGACGAUGGCAAAUUGGUUAAUAUUCCAAUACCAACAUUAGUGUGCGAUGGAAGGACGCUUAGGGCUAAGGGGGCUAGCGGAUGGAAGUGCUAGUCUAAGGUCGUAGGAGGUUAUACAGGCAAAUCCGUAUAACAAUACUCCGAGAACUGAAAGGCUUUUUGAAGUCUUCGGAUGGAUAGAAGAACCCCUGAUGCCGUCGAGCCAAGAAAAGUUUCUAAGUUUAGCUAAUGUUGCCCGUACCGUAAACCGACACAGGUGGGUGGGAUGAGUAUUCUAAGGCGCGUGGAAGAACUCUCUUUAAGGAACUCUGCAAAAUAGCACCGUAUCUUC
rnacentral:rRNA from 1 species